rnacentral:ncRNA from 20 species
UGACCUCGGAUCAGGUAGGGAUACCC